rnacentral:tRNA from 1 species
AUUCCUUUAGUUUAUUAAAAACGUUGUUUUGUGGAGACAAAGAUUUUUGGAAUA